rnacentral:rRNA from 1 species
UACAGAGGAGCCAAGCGUUGUCCGGAUUGACUGGGCGUAAAGCGCACGCAGGCGGAUGCGCGCGUGGGGUGUGAAAUCUGGCCGCUUAACGGCCAGGCGCCAUCCCAUACGGCGCGUCUGGAGUGAUGCAGAGGUCGGUGGAAUUGCCGGUGUAGUGGUGAAAUGCGUAGAGAUCGGCAGGAACACCCAGGGGGAAACCAGCCGACUGGGCAUCUACUGACGCUGAGGUG